rnacentral:tRNA from 1 species
CGGGAUCCAGCCGGAUCGGUGCGGCGAGGCCGCUGCCGUCGGUCGACAGCCGGUACGGUCCUGGCGGUUCCGAC